ensembl:misc_RNA
UAGAGGCGGCGGAGACAGAAACGGAGACAAGACUGUGGAGGCAGGAGGCGGGAGGGCAAACCCAGCUGGAGCA